GCAGAUGUGGCUCCUUUUAGCUGAAUAAUACGUUAAAGGAAUAAUAAUUUUUUAAAAGGAGAUCGACCUCACCCAUAGACAGUGAACGAGAUUAGGGUUUGGGAGCUGCCGCACAACCUUUGCCGCCUCCGCGCCUCUCCUUCCUCCCGGCCGCCGCCGCCAGCGGCGCAGUCCCUCCUGCACGCAGGCUCUGGUUCACCAAAGGGAGACGGGAUUUUGUAUCGUGCUCACGAUCAUCAUCAGGAUGCACCUCAUCAUGGUUAUUUCUUCCUGCCAGUAGAUCUACUGCCUUCAGUUGGGCUGGCUGAGAUCCUGCGGACUGCGACCAACCUCUUAAAAAGAACAAAAAGAAGACCUUGCGUGGACCCCCCGGACAAAGCGCUCUGCGCUCGGCGAGAAGGGAUGCUCGGGAGCGCUGGGUCGGGAACGCGAGGAUCUCCGGUGCCGGGGGCCCCCACCCGGCCUUGCGGACCUCCGAGGGGAUCCAGCUGCAUUAGACACGAGUGACCUUUUAAAUCUACGCCCAGCCUUUACCUGCAGGCGAGUUCCGGAAGGCUGAUUCCCCAGAUUCCGGCCCCGGACCGCGGAGGCUCGCUCCUGCGGCACGCCCGGCCGGGCUGUGCCGGCUCUCGGCCAGCGAGGAAAAAGCCUGGAUCCGAAAGGAUGGGGGAGAACAAAGAGCCUUUGGAAGACGUCGCUGUUAUCUCAUUGUCUGUGUGCCUGGGGGAGCUGCGGUGGGGAGGGCGCCGAGGUCCGCUCCCCGCCCCCCCACCCCCAACCCCUCCCCGCUGUCACUGCGGACGCGCGCGCCGCUUUUUCCUCCUUUUUCCCAGUUUUCGCAUAUCCUCUCCCGCACCUCUUCCUCGCUUCCACCUUUCCUUCCUUCCUCAGGAGCAAGGCCUCUCUCUCCGUGUUCACAGCGGACCUUGAUUUAAAUGUCCAUACAAUUAAGGCACGCGGUGAAUGCCAAGAACGGGGCUGACUGAGCACCGUCGCUCCGAGCGGGCCCGCCGAGGAGCCCCGGCACCCUCCGCGGAGCUCGGCGCGCGGGCGGGCGGGCGGGGUCGCGGGCUCCUGCUUGGCAGGGCUGCCCCGACCCCAGCCCUUGGGGUGCGGAGGCGUGUGCCUGUGACAGACGGGGUCUUAGCGAGGCAAACAGACUCAGAGAGACAGAAGCUGAUUCUGUGACAGCAACACGGAUCUAUGCGAGCACAGAUGCGGGAUGGGGAUGGGGAUGGGGGCGGGGGAGAGCGCGUUGCGGAGGGCUUCUGUGUGCAUAUUUUUCUCUGUGCUCGGGUGCAUUGU